UGGUGGGUAGUUUGACUGGGGCGGUCUCCUCCUAAAGAGUAACGGAGGAGCACGAAGGUUGGCUAAUCCUGGUCGGACAUCAGGAGGUUAGUGCAAUGGCAUAAGCCAGCUUGACUGCGAGCGUGACGGCGCGAGCAGGUGCGAAAGCAGGUCAUAGUGAUCCGGUGGUUCUGAAUGGAAGGGCCAUCGCUCAACGGAUAAAAGGUACUCCGGGGAUAACAGGCUGAUACCGCCCAAGAGUUCAUAUCGACGGCGGUGUUUGGCACCUCGAUGUCGGCUCAUCACAUCCUGGGGCUGAAGUAGGUCCCAAGGGUAUGGCUGUUCGCCAUUUAAAGUGGUACGCGAGCUGGGUUUAGAACGUCGUGAGACAGUUCGGUCCCUAUCUGCCGUGGGCGCUGGAGAACUGAGGGGGGCUGCUCCUAGUACGAGAGGACCGGAGUGGACGCAUCACUGGUGUUCGGGUUGUCAUGCCAAUGGCACUGCCCGGUAGCUAAAUGCGGAAGAGAUAAGUGCUGAAAGCAUCUAAGCACGAAACUUGCCCCGAGAUGAGUUCUCCCUGAGACUUUAGGUCUCCUGAAGGAACGUUGAAGACGACGACGUUGAU
rnacentral:rRNA from 3 species